UACGAAGGGGGCUAGCGUUGCUCGGAAUCACUGGGCGUAAAGGGUGCGUAGGCGGGUCUUUAAGUCAGGGGUGAAAUCCUGGAGCUCAACUCCAGAACUGCCUUUGAUACUGAAGAUCUUGAGUUCGGGAGAGGUGAGUGGAACUGCGAGUGUAGAGGUGAAAUUCGUAGAUAUUCGGAGGAACACCAGUGGCGAAGGCGGCUCACUGGUCCAUUACUGACGCUGAGGUGCGAAAGCGUGGGGAGCAAACA
rnacentral:rRNA from 1 species